AGAGCGAACGCUGGCGGCAGGCCUAACACAUGCAAGUCGAACGGACCCUUCGGGGUUAGUGGCGGACGGGUGAGUAACACGUGGGAACGUGCCUUUUGGUUCGGAAUAGCUCCUGGAAACGGGUGGUAAUGCCGAAUGUGCCCUUCGGGGGAAAGAUUUAUCGCCAUUAGAGCGGCCCGCGUCUGAUUAGCUAGUUGGUGAGGUAAUGGCUCACCAAGGCGACGAUCAGUAGCUGGUCUGAGAGGAUGACCAGCCACAUUGGGACUGAGACACGGCCCAAACUCCUACGGGAGGCAGCAGUGGGGAAUCUUGCGCAAUGGGCGAAAGCCUGACGCAGCCAUGCCGCGUGAAUGAUGAAGGUCUUAGGAUUGUAAAAUUCUUUACACCGGGGACGAUAAUGACGGUAACCCGGAGAAGAACGCCCGACUAACUUCGUGCCAGCAGCCGC
rnacentral:rRNA from 1 species